rnacentral:misc_RNA from 1 species
GAUGAAGAACGCAGCGAAAUGCGAUAAGUAGUGUGAAUUGCAGAAUUCAGUGAAUCAUCGAAUCUUUGAACGCACAUUGCGCCCCUUGGUAUUCCAUGGGGCAUGCCUGUUCGAGCGUCAUUUGUACCUUCAAGCUUUGCUUGGUGUUGGGUGUUUGUCUCGCCUUUGCGUGUAGACUCGCCUUAAAAUAAUUGGCAGCCGGCGUAUUGAUUUCGGAGCGCAGUACAUCUCGCGCUUUGCACUCAUAACGACAGCGUCCAAAAGUACAUUUUACACUCUUGACCUCGGAUCAGGUAGGGAUACCCGCUGAACUUAAGCAUAUCAAUAGCGGAGA